rnacentral:lncRNA from 1 species
CAAAAUCUAAUUAAAAAUUCUCUAGUAAGGUUCAAAAUGCAUUUUAUCUGUUGGAAGGAUUGAACUUUCAACCAAUAUAAAAAUUAUAAGCGGUUCAAAUACUACUAACAAGUUGAUGUUCAUAAAAUUGUUUGUGACUUAUCAAAUAAAAUCAAGUCUAUAACUAUGACAUACUUGAGAAAACUAUUUGUUUUCAUUGUAAUUCUAUGCUAUACUACAUCUUAUCACAUUUAGUUUUAACUCAUAACACGCCUCAACUUUUAAGCCUAAUUUAUUAUUCCUUAUGUCUUUUUUUUUUUUUUAUAUGACCAUGGAUAUUCAGGCCAACUUAGGUGCACCUCGACUAAUCCCACGAGUCCCUGAAGUUUACAGUCAGGUACUCACCUCAGUGGCCCCGAGGGAACUCGAACCGGUGAUCAUUAGGGAGCAAACCCAAAGCCUGACCAUUGAGCUAUCCCUCAACGUUUUAUUCCCUGUGUCUUCUAAACACAACAUUUAUCAUAUUAGAUUUCUGAACCGACAAUAACCUAUUGGCCACCGAAACUUGCCAAUCUACCACUUCAACCAAGUUGAUGUGUGAAACAAGUAUGAAAAGAAUGAUCUAAAGUUAGUGCAUAUAUAGUUGGGGACACAAAUAUUCACAGAAUAAAGGUUAGAACCCAGGGUCUAAUUUUUCCUUGUAAAAAAUCUUAAACUUAUACGAACGGAAAAGAAAAACACUGAACUUAUACUAGCGAAAGCUAGUCACAUUGAAUAUAUAUGAGCGUAAGAGAAAAGCGCCAUAAGAGGCACGUCAUCGGAGAAAUUGGCUGGUGGCCCAGAGUCCAAACCACUCUCAGAACCACCACGCGUCAGAGCAGUAAUGGGCUCGGACGUAAAAAUGAAUUACUUAACAAUUAGGGUACAUGUACAAGAAGAUUGUACAGAUACAUUACAGGGAGACAAGUGGUAACCAUUCAUUGGAGCUUGGACAAAAAAUAAUUUUGUUCCGGCCAAUGCAGUGUUGCUACUUGUUUCCCUACAAUGCUUCCUGUACAAUCUCCCUAUACAAGGAGAUUAAUUCUUACAGCAAUCCCAGCUCUGAUUCCAAUUCAAAACCACAAAUACAUACAUAAACACAUACAUAUGGAGAGAUGGAGAGAGAGAGAGAGAGAGAGAG